CUUUCACCCCUUCACAACAAAACAUACGCAGCUUCCAUGCCAAACAAAAUUCUCUCCUCCUUCCCUCUAAAAUUCUUGAUAGCGACCGAUGGCAACCACAACUGUGAGAAAUGAACAGAUGGAUUCAUAAGCCGAGGUUCAGAAAAUUUCUCAACUUGAAGGCAACAAUACUCCAGUUAUUGAUUCAAGUGUUCCUACUCCUCCUAAAAAAUAUAAAAGAGCAGCACCUUCUGAAAAUGAUUCUGGUCUUGGGAGGGAAACAUCAGACAUUUGGAAAUAUUUUUCCAAAUUUUUUGAUAAAGAUGGUUAACUCCCAAAGAAUGCAACAUUGAAGAUAUUGUAGAAGAAAUCCCAAAACUUGAAAUAGUUGAAAAAGAAUAUCCCGAUAAUGUUUUGAGCAUCGAUUAGAUCGGAUAAUGAAACUGGCUUCAAUCAUAUUCUUGUUGCUUGAAAUUUGGAUGUAUUUUUUGAUGUGGAUACUUUACUUUACCAUAUGAAAAACUAUUUUACAGUAUCCUAUUAUAAUUUUAUUAUUGUAAUAUAAACUUUGUGACUUUGCAAUCUUCUGUUAACUUUAUAAAGUUGGGGUGAUAGAAUAGCAUUAAUGUGUGUCUCUGGUGAUUAGCAUCAUCUUCAACUACAAGUUUGCAUUUCUUUUUUCAUGAGGGAUUGUAGAUAUGUAUUUAUUUGUGUAAUGAAGUUUUAAGUGCACAGGUCUGAGUAGUGAGUGAUAUAGAAAUUGGAUAUGCUUGUCUAAUUUUUCUAUGUGGCCAGAAAGGUCAUAUAACUUCUCUCUUUUAGCUGCACUCUUUGGCUAGAGUUCUAAAGGAGCUAGAAAUUUGUUAUGUGCUUUUUGUGAAAAGUUGGGACACCUUGUUUCUUUGUCCA